rnacentral:rRNA from 1 species
UACGUAGGGCGCAAGCGUUGUCCGGAAUUAUUGGGCGUAAAGCGCACGUAGGCGGGUUGUUAAGUCAGGGGUGAAAUCCUGGAGCUCAACUCCAGAACUGCCUUUGAUACUGGCAACCUAGAGACUGGAAGAGGUUAGUGGAAUUCCCAGUGUAGAGGUGAAAUUCGUAGAUAUUGGGAAGAACACCGGUGGCGAAGGCGGCUCUCUGGACCGAGACUGACGCUGAGGCGCGAAAGCGUGGGGAGCAAACAGG